rnacentral:rRNA from 1 species
AGAGUUUGAUCCUGGCUCAGGAUGAACGCUAGCGGCAGGCUUAACACAUGCAAGUCGAGGGGCAGCAUGAAUAAUAGCAAUAUUAUUUGAUGGCGACCGGCGCACGGGUGCGUAACACGUAUGUAAUCUGCCUUGUACUGGAGCAUAACUCCGAGAAAUCGGAGCUAAUUCUCCAUAAUACUAGAAUGUGGCAUCACGUUUUAGUUAAAGCUCAGGCGGUACAAGAUGAGCAUGCGGCCAAUUAGCUAGUUGGAGAGGUAACGGCUCACCAAGGCGACGAUUGGUAGGGGUUCUGAGAGGAUGAUCCCCCACACUGGUACUGAGACACGGACCAGACUCCUACGGGAGGCAGCAGUGAGGAAUAUUGCGCAAUGGAGGAAACUCUGACGCAGCCAUGCCGCGUGAAGGAUGAAUGCCCUAUGGGUUGUAAACUUCUUUUGUAUGGGAAUAAACGCUCCUACGUGUAGGAGCCUGAAGGUACCAUAAGAAUAAGCACCGGCUAACUCCGUGCCAGCAGCCGCGGUAAUUC